rnacentral:lncRNA from 1 species
AUGGCCGCUUGUGGGGACAGACCUGGUGUCCUUAAACCCAUCUUCAGCCACCUGUGGGGCCAUGACAAGGACAGGCCUGGUGUCCCCAGUCCAACCUUCAGCCACUUGUGGGGCCAUGCUUGGGAACAGGCCAGGUGCCCCCAAACCCACCCAUGGCCACUUGUGGGGCCACGCUGUGCCACGUCCCCAUCCAGCCAGCACCCAGAGGGCAGGGAUAUGGCGCGUGCCCACCACAGGGACAGGGACCCUGAUGCCACUGCGAUGCCAAGGGGGGCACAGACAUCACCCCCAGUCCCCAUAAAUCCUGCAGGGGUGCAAUGGAGCCGUGGGGGCCGCCCCACAUCUCACCCAGAUGCCAAGCAUCUCCCAGCACCCCGGCUGCCAUGUGGUGUGGGCACGGGGCGGGCACGGCGGGGCUCCCCCCGGCGCGAGGGAACUCCCCCCAGUUUGCCCCAGUUCUGGGCAGCCCGGCUGCUGGCGCGCGGCCCGGUGAGCAAUGCGUGCUCUGACUGCCUUUUUCCAUUUGGCUGCUGGACGAGUCCGUCCCCGAAAGAAAACAAGGAAAGUGCAUCCAUCUCCACGGCCCCUCCUCCCCGCAUCCGAUUCUCCCAGUUCGGAAAAAUCCGUGCUUGGGUUUGCAUUGGGAACAGCCCCCGUGCCCCAAAUCCCAGCUGGGAGGUGGCAAAGCGCGGCCACCAAACCCUCCAAAAAGCUUCUCCUCCUCCUUAUUUUCUUGCUUCCCUCCCUGCAAUCGCAGCGAGGAAAGGGCGAAGCAGAGCGCAGGGUCUCAGUGCAGCCGGGAGGAGCUGCGCCUCGGCCACCGCAGCCCUGUCCCCAAGCGACCUCACUGCUCCCUGCCCAGCACAGGGCCUCAGCCCCACAGCAGCCCCACAGCAGCCCCACACCGGCUCCACUGCCCCAGCACAGCCCCUGCUGUCCCCCGACCCAGCACAGCCCACCAGCACAGCUCCACCAACCCCAAAAGUCCCCCCAUGCACAAACCCCAUUAUUUUCCAGCACAACCCCACCCUGGAAGCUGAUGGUUGCUACUCCAGAUCCAUUUUUUCCCCCUCCUGA